UGGGAAACGUUGGGGAAUUUUAACAUCUCCGUACCCACAGGAAGAGAAACAACAUGUGAUUCCGUNAGUAGUGUCGAGCGAAAGCGGAAGAGGCUAAACCGCGGUUUUGUGAGANCUGGCAGGCGUUGCAUUUCGUGGGGUCGUGGGGCCCUUCUUCCCAUCACUGUUAUGGUGGGCGAGAGNUAGAAACCGGUGUGUUAGUUUAAGUGGUCUGGAACGGCCUGUCCUAUAACGGUGUAUAAUCCCGUAGAAAAAAACCCGGCCGGAUCUCGUGUUCGGGUUCCCCGAGUAGCAUCGGGGCCCUGUGAAAUUCUGCUGUGGUAUUCCCUCGGGACCACCCCGAAUAGGCCUGGAAUACUUCCCUGGGUGAACCGAUAGCGGGACCUUUUACCCUGGGGGGAAAAGGCCGAAAUUUCCU
rnacentral:sRNA from 1 species